rnacentral:lncRNA from 1 species
GAUGAGAUCAUUUGAAGAAUGGUUUCUAGAGUGAUCCUAGUAGAGGUCUCAAAGGCAUAGAGGAAGUGGUCCAAUCCAUUCUUAUGAAAGAUGAUCGACAGUGAACUUGCGAAGAAGGCUGCAGCACUACUUCGAAUUAGGAAGGGCCCUGAUCAGUCCCGUGUGGAUCAUUGUUGGAGGGCUUCUCCUUUGAAGUCUUGUGG